UACGGGGGGGCAAGCGUUGUUCGGAAUUACUGGGCGUAAAGGGUUCGUAGGUGGCCCGCUAAGUCACACGUGAAAUCCCUCAGCUUAACUGGGGAACUGCGUGUGAGACUGGCGGGCUUGAGUGCAGGAGAGGAACGCGGAAUUCCAGGUGUGAGCGGUGAAAUGCGUAGAUAUCUGGAGGAACACCGGUGGCGAAGGCGGCAUCCUGGGCCGGUAUUGACGCUGAGGUGCGAAAGCGUGGGGAGCAACAGG
rnacentral:rRNA from 1 species